rnacentral:rRNA from 1 species
GACGAACGCUGGCGGCGUGCUUAACACAUGCAAGUCGAACGAGUGGCGAACGGGUGAGUAAUACGUGAGUAACCUGCCCUCUUUUUGGGAUAAGCCUUGGAAACGGGGUCUAAUACCGGAUAAAGGGGGAUGGGCUCGCGGCCUAUCAGCUUGUUGGUGGGGUGAUGGCCUACCAAGGCGGUGACGGGUAGCCGGCCUGAGAGGGUGGCCGGCCACAUUGGGACUGCGCUACGGCCCAGAGUCCUACGGGCGGCAGCAGUUGGGGAUAUUGCACAAUGGUCGAAAGCCGGAUGCAGCGACGCCGCGUGGGGGAUGCAGGCUUUCGGGUUGUAAACCUAUUUCACUAUCGGAGGGUAGGUGGAGAAGAAGCGCCGGCUAACUACGUGCCAGCAGCCGCGGUAAUAC